rnacentral:rRNA from 1 species
UACAGAGGGUGCGAGCGUUACUCGGAAUUACUGGGCGUAAAGGGUGCGUAGGUGGUUUUUUAAGUCGUCUGUGAAAUAUCUGGGCUUAACCUGGGUGCUGCAGACGAUACUGGAAAGCUAGAGUAGGGUAGAGGAGAGUGGAAUUUCCGGUGUAGCGGUGAAAUGCGUAGAUAUCGGAAGGAACACCAGUGGCGAAGGCGGCUCUCUGGACUCAUACUGACACUGAGGCACGAAAGCGUGGGGAUCAAACAGG